UCCGUUUUGUCAACGGCAGUCUCAAUAGAGUUCCCAGCAUAACCUGAUGGCAACUAUUGAUAAGGGUUGCGCUCGUUGCGGGACUUAACCCAACAUCUCACGACACGAGCUGACGACAGCCAUGCAGCACCUGUGUUGACGCUCCUUUCGGCACCCCAGGGCUUUCCCCCAGGUUCGUCACAUGUCAAGGGUAGGUAAGGUUCUUCGCGUUGCAUCGAAUUAAACCACAUGCUCCACCGCUUGUGCAGGCCCCCGUCAAUUUCUUUGAGUUUUAACCUUGCGGCCGUACUCCCCAGGCGGAUGACUUAACGCGUUAGCUGCGCCACCGAAACGCUAAGCGCCCCGACAGCUAGUCAUCAUCGUUUACGGCGUGGACUAC
rnacentral:misc_RNA from 1 species